rnacentral:rRNA from 1 species
GUGGGGAAUAUUGGACAAUGGGCGAAAGCCUGAUCCAGCCAUGCCGCGUGUGUGAAGAAGGUCUUCGGAUUGUAAAGCACUUUAAGUUGGGAGGAAGGGUAGUAACCUAAUACGUUGCUACUUUGACGUUACCGACAGAAUAAGCACCGGCUAACUUCGUGCCAGCAGCCGCGGUAAUACGAAGGGUGCAAGCGUUAAUCGGAAUUACUGGGCGUAAAGCGCGCGUAGGUGGUUCAGUAAGUUGGAAGUGAAAUCCCCGGGCUCAACCUGGGAACUGCUUUCAAAACUGCUGAGCUAGAGAACGGUAGAGGGUGGUGGAAUUUCCUGUGUAGCGGUGAAAUGCGUAGAUAUAGGAAGGAACACCAGUGGCGAAGGCGACCACCUGGACUGAUACUGACACUGAGGUGCGAAAGCGUGGGGAGCAAACAGGAUUAGAAACCCUGGUAGUCC